GUGCUGAAUUUGGCAGCACAUAUACUAAAAUUGGAACAAUACAGAGAAGAUUAGCAAGGCCCUGUGCAAAGAUGACACAAAUUCAUGAAACAUUCCAUAUAUUUUU
ensembl:snRNA U6 U6 spliceosomal RNA